rnacentral:rRNA from 1 species
AUUGAACACUGGCGGCAGGCCUAACACAUGCAAGUCGAACGAGUGGCGGACGGGUGAGUAAUGUCUGGGAAACUGCCUGAUGGAGGGGGAUAACUACUGGAAACGGUAGCUAAUACCGCAUACCAUCGGAUGUGCCCAGAUGGGAUUAGCUAGUAGGUUGGGUAGAGGCUCACCUAGGCGACGAUCCCUAGCUGGUCUGCGAGGAUGACCAGCCACACGGGAACUUAGAGACGGUCCAGACUCCUACGGUAGUCAGCAGUGGGGCAUAUUGCGCUAUGGGCGCAAGCCUGAUGCAGCCAUGCCGCGUGGAUGCAUAAGGCCUUCGGGUUGUAAAGUACUUUCAGCGGGGAGGCGUUACCCGCAGAAGAAGCGCCGGCUAACUCCGUGCCAGCCGCCGCGGUAAUUC